AGGUCCCAAGCGUUGUUCGGAUUCACUGGGCGUAAAGGGUGCGUAGGUGGCCGGGUAAGUCUGACGUGAAAUCUCCAAGCUCAACUUGGAAACUGCGUCGGAUACUAUCCGGCUAGAGGAUCGGAGGGGAGACUGGAAUACUUGGUGUAGCAGUGAAAUGCGCAGAUAUCAGGAGGAACACCAAUGGCGAAGGCAGCACUCUGGGACGUGACUGACGCUGAGACGCGAAAGCGUGGGGAGCAAACAGG
rnacentral:rRNA from 1 species